rnacentral:lncRNA from 1 species
GACGUCAGCGCGCGCGAUGUUUAAAUAAGCGAGCCGCGCGGCGCGGCAGUUGGCGCGGCCAACGGCUCUGGGGCGGCUGAGGCGGGGAAGGGACGGGACGGGACGGGACGAGCGGGGCGGCGACUGUUAGUAGCGAGGGGCGCCACGAAGGAGAAGUCUUGGGAGGGUUAGGGGGCGGGAGCUCUUGAGGGGCCUGAAUAUUCAUUAGGCUCUUGUGAGGACAAAUGCUGAGGGUCUCCAGAAAGAGACGCCCGUGCGCUUGAAGGCUCUUCUGGAGACCGAAUUGGCUUGCGCUUUUUCUCCUGACGCGUUUCUAACUAGUUCCGUGAUCCGCGCACACUUUCGCCGCCUUUAAAACUUGCAGCAAUAACAGCCCUACCGCUCUCUAGGUUCAGUUUGGGUUACGAAAAAGUGGCGGUUUUCUCCAUGAGGCACUUAAGGCAUCCUCGCGAUGCCCAAGCCCUCCACGGCGCAGGCCCUUCUCCAAGGGGUCCUUCCUCGGUCUAUGGGCCCGGGGCUGGACUCGGAGGCAUUUUGCCACCUGAGGCGAAGCGCAAAAUGAGUGGUCUCUGCUCCUGCCAGAGAAAGGGGCGAGUGACGAUCAGGAACAAGGCGGGGAGUCAGGCUCUACCUUGGGGUUAACUGCCCUCCCCUUGCUUCUUGGGCGGGCUGCUCCUGUGUGGAACCCGCGUGUAUGUUAAAAGCGGGGACUGGAGGGAUAUCUUUAAAGCUGUGAUGUGCAAGAUGAACGCAAAGUACGGAAGAGAAAUUAAAAUAAUGCAAGAACCUGAGGGAGCUUUAAGGUUGAAAUCCUUUGCAGGGAGAGGAAUGCAGGCAGGAGGGCUGUUUGCUACAAAGGUGGCCGCGAGGAAGGUGCUUUUUAAUGCAAAUAAAAUUAAAACGACAGGCCCCUAUGGUCAGAAACUCUUGGGUGUAAUUUGAAUUCUUUUGAAAUACAGCUGCACCAUACAUUCCUUUUAUCCUGUUAGCUAUUGAACCUCAUACUGGAACAGUGUCGUGCCUUUUAUGUGGUCGGCAACUAGCAGUAGGUCACUUUGAGAAUAAAUUGGGGUGGGACAGAUAAUGCAUCAAAAGGCAACUCCAUAAUAACAACUUGUAGUAAAUGGGUUUUUUUGGGGGGGAGAUUAGACAGCAAUUCUGUGGGUGCAUUUUUACAUAAAGACCUACUAGUAGCUGACUCAUACGGUGAAAUGGUGGAAGUAAUAAAGCACUGUUUUAUGUAACUGCUUUGCAAUGCAUAUUUUUCACUGUCCUUUAUGCAGAACUCUCUCACUAAGUGAAAUAUUGACAAUUACAAUAUAAUUUAUGUGAAAUGAGCUACUGAAUGAGAAAUCUCUGGGACUAGCAUGUGCUCUGUCACAGCAGGAGUUUUAAUUAGGUUAUUUCUGGUCUUUCCUUUUGAUGACCUUAACCUGACACCAGUGUUGAAAUAUUUUAUUUAACAGUUGCCUAAUUAUACAAAACACCUGCAGUCCUCUGAACAAUCUAGAGUAGCAAGUUCCAGUAAUUUUAAUCAGUUUUGUGUCAGCACAGCAUUUUGAGAAGUAGGUGACCUAUAAUUAGAUAAUGCC